rnacentral:rRNA from 1 species
UACGGAGGGGGCUAGCGUUGUUCGGAAUUACUGGGCGUAAAGCGCGCGUAGGCGGAUCUGCAAGUCGGGUGUGAAACCUCCAGGCUCAACCUGGAGACGCCACCCGAUACUGUCGUGACUAGAGUCCAGUAGGGGAGCGUGGAAUUCCUGGUGUAGCGGUGAAAUGCGCAGAUAUCAGGAGGAACACCAGCGGCGAAGGCGGCGCUCUGGGCUGGAACUGACGCUGGAGGAGCGAAAGCUAGGGGAGCGAACGGG